GACUAAAACCUCACUGCUACAAAAGACAAUCUCAAAUAUACGCGAGUUUCUUUCCAGCCACAGAGCAUAGUAUACUUCAGCAGUCACCAUUUGAAUAUGUUGGCUCUACUUGACUUCCCUUUAGCUUUGCUAAUUAGCCACUGGAGUCUCUGGUCCCAGUUCUGUGUUCUGGGAUGCUCCUCUUGAAUCCAAUUCAUUGUUUGCUCCCAUAGCUCUAUUGAAUAUGAGCAAGAAAGGAAUAUAUGAUCUCUGGAUUCUGUAUGGUUUUGACACAACAUACAUAUCUGGUCAACAUUCAUUCCCCAUUGUGUUAGCCUAUCCUUGGUUGG
rnacentral:lncRNA from 1 species